CCAGCCCAUUCCCAUUACCCAGAGCACUCCAAGCAAUAUCAGCUAUACGCACAUCAACUCCAAAUAACACCAAAAAUCAGCACAUUCAUUCUAAAAUACCCGACCUGUGUUGCAUUCUCUUCUUCCUCGCGUGACUGAACGCGAAAAUAAGAGACUCCAGCAAAACCAAAUUCUGGCAGCGACAAAAUCCAGCGCGUGCAGCAACCGUUCCCUGGUUUUCUUUUCUUCGUCCUUGAAGCGUAUCAACCACGAGGGAAGCAAAGGCGGGUGCAACGGAAGGAAAAGGAGAACAGUACGAUGUGUCUAUGUUGCUUUUCUUCCUCGCAGGACUGACCUAGCAGUACGUUUCCAGCAACAAAGGAGCACGUGUUUUUGUCCUUGGGACCUUGAGAUCGAGACACGUCUCAUCCCAAGGACAAGGGAGCAGAUCCAUCCGUCUCUCCCUCUUUUACUCUUUCGUAGUAAAGUUGAAACCUCAAAGAAAGGAUGUUCAUCCAAAUUUGUGAAAGUUUGAGGCGUUUUGGAUUUUGAAUUGGUUUGUUUUGGGGGGGGGGGAAUUCUAUCUGUUUCCUUCCUUUGGCAUAACCCUAAUCCUUGGCCUAUAUAGUCUCUUUUUCUUCACACAACCAGGGAGUUGAAACUUUGGACUCUUUUGGAGUUUGGAUUCUCGAAGAAAGGAAAUAUACAUAAAUCUUAAGGAAGAACAGUUAAGUUAUAUACUAAAUACACUAAGAGAGGCAGAGGUGAUGGGAGUUUAAUUUUGUUCGAAUCCCUGCUUCAUUUUCACUGUUCGUCAACAUUUUCGGAGUGGCAUUCCGUUUGUGUGGAAGUUGCUGCCUCCUCAAGCUCGCUGCUGUCUUGGUUUGCUGCUCGGAUAAAGGUUGUAUACGUCAUUUUUCACACCAUUGUUCCUUGGGGUUGGGACUUUGUUAGUUUGUUCUAGUUGAAGAAAUAGUUAUACCGACUACUAUUCCAUCAAAAGGUGUGUACAUUUGCAGAUGAGAAGUCAAGAACAAAAAACUAUUCAUGGAGGCAUAGUUUAUGAUUAUACCCCUGCGUGGGAUUAAUUAUUUGUAUCUCAUUCGCCUACUAUGUAUCCUCAUUCAGUUUACUUAUAAAUUUUGUAUAAUUUGGGGUUUUUUGGUGCAAUGUAAUGUUUCAAAUGACGUAUACAUCCCUCAAAUUGUGAA